AUUCUCACCAUGUGAUACCCUGAGUUGCUGUAGAGAGUCACUUCACCAGGAAGAAGGCCAUUAACAGAUGUGUUCCCUGGACUUUGGAUUUCCCAGCCUCUAAAACUUUUACAGAGAGGGAGGCAGACAAAGGAUGUGAAGACGGUGACCCUGCUUUCUUCUCAGAAUAACAGCCGCUCAAGUGCCUGAGGAGAAGCCCAAGGCACAGUUCAAAGUCUGUAUUUCUAAUCUCUGGCGAGAGCUUGGGGGAAUAAUGUGAACUGGUCUUUCGCUGCCUGAGAUUGAAGAGAAGGGAAGAAUGUGUGUGACUCCUCUGCCCACUUUCAGUGACUUUGCCAUUAAAGCAUUAUUCCAGGAUUCCCCGCUUGCUUACGCUGGUGGAGAGAGGAUUGAGCUGAAUGGAAUUGCUUGAUGCUGAAAGUCUUGUGAGAAGACAUGGUGAGGAAUGGAAGCCACCGCACACACCAAGAUAGCACAGAAAGGGAGAACUUGGUCUAUUUUUUGCAUUUAAAAAUACAUAAAGUAGUAUUCAUUUGCUACUAAUAGCAUGUUCAUUGUAAAAUUUUAGA